AUCAUCAAUCAAACACUAGAGAAGAAGAAGAUCAUCAAUACUACAGUGUAUAGUAUGAGUGUCAUCAGCAAAUUAACAUUGCUCAUCAUUUCAAUUGCUUGCAUUUUUCAGGUAUCAUCACUAAGCGCAGAUGGGUCAUCACUUGUACCACUAAUCAUAGACCAAAUGAUAAGCAGCAAUCCGGCUAAUACAUUUCUUGAUCCAUUCAAAGUUUUAGAACAAAUACCAUUUGGAUUAGAAAACACUCUGCUCGCGAGAGUCGACUGGAAAGAGACGGCGAAGGGACACGUGAUAAGCGUAGAAGUACCUGGAUUGAAGAAAGAUGAUAUAAAGAUCGAAAUUGAAGAAAACAGAGUGUUGAGAGUGAGCGGAGAGAG
rnacentral:misc_RNA from 1 species